UGACCCAGGAGCAUCCUCUCCGUGUGUGUGUGUGUGUGUGUGUGUAGCGUACACGCUUCCUUGUAUCCGCAGUCAGGCUCUACCGGGUUUUGUUGGACCUGGGCGCAGGGUCUGGGGACACCACACAGCCCCUGGUGCAACUCAGGCAAAGUUUACAGCAAGUGAAGAGAUGUUUGAAAACACGUCUCAGUGUUACUGAUCAUUUCCACGUGCAGACGUGUCUACACACACCUGGGGACAGUGCCCCACCAGAAGGGGUGUGGUGUGAUGUGGAUUAGGGAGAUGAUUUAGGUGACUCACACCUCAGAAAGAUUUCUUAUGACCUUAUGCCUAAUGGGGGACAAGGACUAAAGAAAUUCUGUCGGGGAAGUCAUGACAUUUGAAUAACUUUAUUACUGAGUUUCAGAAAUAUUCAUGCAGGUUUGGAAUGUGGGUCUUUCUGGAGUGUGUGUGUGUGUGUGUGUGUGUCUGAUUUGCCUUCCCGAUUGUACUUGGCAUGGGUCCCUUCCUCCCCAGGAGCCAGACUGUCUUAUUGAUAGUGUGCUUGGCAUUGCAGUCUGCCUGGAAUAAAUCAGAUUCUCAAUUGUCAGAAAGAUUUAGAUUGUGUUGUGUCGUCCUCUGCUGCUUUUGUGAAAGUGGAACCAGAAAUGUGUCUUCAGGCUAUAAUUCAUUUGGUACUUUGGGAGCCCUAAAAUCACGCAAAAAUACGGCAAUUGGUGGAAAGAUAAGUAGCUCAGGAUUUGACGGCCGCUGAGAAACAUUAUUGGCAGGUCUAAGGCAACGUUGUCCAGUGAUAUAUAAUGCAAUGGGCAAAUGUGAACCAUGUAUGUGAUUUUGAAUUUUCUAGUAGCUACAUUAAAAGAAAAAAAGAAAAUAGGCAAAAAUAAUUCUAAAAAAUUGUACUUCAUUUUACUCAGUAUAUCCAAAGUGUUGUCAUUGCGACAGGUACUCAGCCUCCAAGAAUUAUUGAGACAUUUUACAUUCUUUGAUUGGUACUAAGUCUCAGAAAUCAAGAGUGUAUUCCGCACUCACACCUGUGUCAGUUUGGACUGGCCACGUUUCAGGUGCUCACUGGGCUUGGACAGUGUGGGCCUAAGGGCAUUGUUGCCUUCUUCAGCUACAGUGAAGCAAUGCCAGUUACAGAAACCAAAAAUGGAUCUCGGGAAGGAAUCAUGAGCUGCCUGCCGGCUGAAACCAGGGCCAUGGGUGCUUUUGGCUUCAUUAACAGCUCUCCUCUGUGUAAUGGUCACGG